GUGGGGAAUUUUGGACAAUGGGCGAAAGCCUGAUCCAGUCAUGCCGCGUGCAGGAUGAAGGCCUUCGGGUUGUAAACUGCUUUUGUACGGAACGAAAAGACUCCUUCUAAUAAAGGGGGUCCAUGACGGUACCGUAAGAAUAAGCACCGGCUAACUACGUGCCAGCAGCCGCGGUAAUACGUAGGGUGCAAGCGUUAAUCGGAAUUACUGGGCGUAAAGCGUGCGCAGGCGGUUAUAUAAGACAGAUGUGAAAUCCCCGGGCUCAACCUGGGAACUGCAUUUGUGACUGUAUAGCUAGAGUACGGUAGAGGGGGAUGGAAUUCCGCGUGUAGCAGUGAAAUGCGUAGAUAUGCGGAGGAACACCGAUGGCGAAGGCAAUCCCCUGGACCUGUACUGACGCUCAUGCACGAAAGCGUGGGGAGCAAACAGGAUUAGAAACCCGGGUAGUCC
rnacentral:rRNA from 1 species